UCGGGAUUCUUGAAAUGCAAUACAGAUGCCUCUCCCCGUCCGGAUCAUAACAAAAUUGAGCGGGUUGGGUUCUUUGUGCUUAGAGAGGGCAGCUGAUUAAGACUUGCUAAAUUGAGCUUCUUGGUCCACCUGAUCCGAAAAUCGCUGAAGCUCUCUCUCCAAGAAGUUCUUAGCUUGAUUGAUGAAAGGGGCAUGCAUAUUACCUAAUUUAUUAACUUAUUCAACCUUGA
rnacentral:misc_RNA from 1 species